GGAGAGAUGGCCGAGUGGUCGAAGGCAGUAGUCUUGAAAACUACCGUGGGGUAACUCACCAAGGGUUCGAAUCCCUUUCUCUCCG
rnacentral:tRNA from 1 species